rnacentral:rRNA from 1 species
UGGGGAAUAUUGCACAAUGGGCGCAAGCCUGAUGCAGCGACGCCGCGUGCGGGAUGGAGGCCUUCGGGUUGUAAACCGCUUUGUUCAAGGGCAAGGCACGGUCUUUGGCCGUGUUGAGUGGAUUGUUCGAAUAAGCACCGGCUAACUACGUGCC